UUGUCUCGGCCAUCUGGGCAUCCAGCCCGCUGUAAUUCAGGUGCUGUCAGACCCUAAUUGAAGAAUGACACACUGGGAAUAGCUACACUGUACCAAAAGAUCAAGUUACAGGAGAGCAAGUGCAGAGCCUUUACCCAUGCCUAAAUAUGCGGUAGACAUACUGUCUACACACACUUUGAUAAAUAACAUUCAGAGCUACUGUCUCGGUGUACUCAUCAUAGCUAGCAGUAUGGAUUGGCAACGGAGUUAAAUUCACCCACUACCUGGUGUUUGUUCUCUCCACACACUAAGGUCACAUAUGUGAAUAAAUAGGCUUUGAAUGGAAUCUAAUGAUGGGGUUAGUGAUGUCACUAUAAUGAGUGCAUGGGGUGUCUGUCUACUCACGGUACAGGUUGUGUUACGAAAUAACAAGGAGAAGAGCAGAUAGACAAACCAAGAAGAGGGAAGGAGAAAUAGGGGUUUUCUAAUCAUGUUUUGAACACUUCUUAUGUAAUUAUUCCCCUGUAUCCUUUGCUAGCUAGUGAUUACUAUCCUUCAUACAAUCCUGCACUGAGAGAAAAUAUGGAUAACGCAGAUAUAGGCCAACAGUGGUUGAAACUGCAAAGUCUGUGCAGUUCUUUUUUUUCUUUCUUUCUUUUUUUUUACCAUACUGGAGUAUUGUUGUGGAUAAGACCAUUUCAAACGAUUUCCUUUUUAUUGUGAAAACACUGGAAUAGUUGGUGGAUUGUUUUCUUUACCCUACUUGCCUGGAGGCUAUGUGGAAUAUCCCACUCUUGAUAUACUCAGAGGGGGAUUUAGCUAAUGGUAGAAAGAAACGAUGUAAAUACUAUUGUUGUUAUCUACUUAGGCUACGUUUGAUAGUAUAAGAUUUGACGGGAUUUAUACAUUUAAAACAAGACCAUUUCCAUUAUCAUUCCACACAGCUGCUAAUAAGAUUUUAUUUUCGGAAAAGGUGAGGGAGAUUUGCAGCGUUCAACCUGUAGGGGAGCUGGUUCCCAAAAGGAUGCCAUAUGGACUCAUGAGGAACUUGGAGGUUACACUACUACUGAACAUGCCCCUCCGCUCCCUGUCUGCACCUGGAGGCAAGCUCUCAGCGCCCCGAUAUUGCCAUCGUCCUCCUCGCCUUGCACUUGGGGUGGGCCCCGAUGCCGUGGCUGGGAGUGACGCCACUUUGACAGAUGACUGUCACCAGCACCCUGAAAGGUCACAGCCGCUAAUGCAGUGCAGAGCCUGUCGCUGAUGAUGGCUUGAGGCCAGGCAAUCUAUGUACUUGCACCCGGCUGACACUUCAUCAAAAGGAGAGCACACAUACGUCAGCCAGAGAUGCUACCGGCCUGCAGAGUGUCAGAGAAAGUCGGGGAGUGAAAACAGAGAAGAUAACUGGCCCAGACUUAAGUGCCUGGAAGAUAACAUUGAGACUGUAAUAAUAGCUGAUAAUAGUUGCCACAUAUAGUCGUUCCUCUGAGGGCUUUAUUUCAGGAAACAAAACCUUAAUAUCUAAAAAAAAAAAGUAGAUGGCUUCUCAUUACCAGUACGAAUGAAUGCAAGGAGCUGAUGAAAACUGGCUCAUUUUAUGUGACAUGACAUAGAAAAACGGAGGCUAAUGGUGUGUAAUUAAUACCUUCUCACCAAGCUCACAGUAGGCCUGUACAGUGUCUGAUCAUACCAGUCUGUCCAUUGGCAUUGAAGAGUGUUACUUAUCCAGGAAUAUGAAUGCCAGCGCUCCGGCAUCUAGCAGGAGUCAGGGGAGGCACAGCAGGCUCUAGCCCAAACAGAGUGACAAUGAGCCAUCAGUCAUAUUGCCACGAGUGGUUGCAUACACCACCCUGUUUCCGGAGGCUUCCUUACUGUGGGGAAAUUAGCAGGGUUAAAGAAUACCGCAGGAAGGAGUGCUUGUGUCAUCACAACGCCAUAUGCCUUUUUUUGUUCUUUGUGCACCUUUAGUAGUCACUGUAAAAGUGCUGGGAAAUUGCCUUUGUCAGAUACUAGUACAAUUGUAAAGUUGAGUUAUGUGAAUGAAUCAGUAUGUGUGUCAAGUACGUUGCUGACGUUGAGUAAAAGUCCAGUAUUACACAUAUAGCCAUUAUUAAAUAAUGAGGAAACCCAUUCCUUA